GGCUGGUCUGAAGGUAGUGAGUUAUGUCUUGUUCACAGUCAGUUACAGAUCAGACUCCUUGUUCUACUCUAACCCCCCUUCUCACCAAUGCACUCGACAGGUCUUGA
ensembl:misc_RNA Y_RNA Y RNA